rnacentral:rRNA from 1 species
UUAUAAUAGGACAGACACUCCCUUAGAGUUUGAUCAUGGCUCAGAUUGAACGCUGGCGGCAUGCCUUACACAUGCAAGUCGAACGGUAACGCGGGGCAACCUGGCGACGAGUGGCGAACGGGUGAGUAAUAUAUCGGAACGUGCCCAAUUGUGGGGGAUAACGUAGAGAAAUUUACGCUAAUACCGCAUACGAUCUAAGGAUGAAAGCGGGGGAUCGCAAGACCUCGCGCAAUUGGAGCGGCUGAUAUCAGAUUAGCUUGUUGGUGAGGUAAAAGCUCACCAAGGCGACGAUCUGUAGCUGGUUUGAGAGAACGACCAGCCACACUGGGACUGAGACACGGCCCAGACUCCUACGGGAGGCAGCAGUGGGGAAUUUUGGACAAUGGGCGAAAGCCUGAUCCAGCAAUGCCGCGUGCAGGAAGAAGGCCUUCGGGUUGUAAACUGCUUUUGUACGGAACGAAACGGUCUGCCCUAAUACGGCGGGCUAAUGACGGUACCGUAAGAAUAAGCACCGGCUAACUACGUGCCAGCAGCCGCGGUAAUACGUAGGGUGCGAGCGUUAAUCGGAAUUACUGGGCGUAAAGCGUGCGCAGGCGGUUAUGUAAGACAGUUGUGAAAUCCCCGGGCUCAACCUGGGAAUUGCAUCUGUGACUGCAUAGCUAGAGUACGGUAGAGGGGGAUGGAAUUCCGCGUGUAGCAGUGAAAUGCGUAGAUAUGCGGAGGAACACCGAUGGCGAAGGCAAUCCCCUGGACCUGUACUGACGCUCAUGCACGA